UAGAAGCAAGCACCACACUGGAUCAUAUAUAAAGGCCAAUGAAACAGCCUUUUCUCUCAUCAUGCUCAAAUCCUCAUGUGAUAAGGAACCAUGCUUUGGCCUCUGUUCUUUCUGGAAUUCCUAAAGAAGAAUGAAUCAGUUAAUGAACCACUGCAAUAACAAAUUCUCUCCAGAUUAAAAGACAUAAAAACACACUAAAAUGGAAAAGAGUACAAUGAAGGAUAGGAAGGCAGAGAUGAAUGGAAUUUAUUCCUUCCCUAAUCUUCCAUUUCCAGAAGCAGAAAAAU